rfam:Asian citrus Psyllid, Diaphorina citri - Florida Strain, whole genome shotgun sequence.
GCCUAGUUAGCUUAGUUGGUUGUGCGUCUGCCUUGUAAGCGCUAGGCCGCGGGUUCGAUUCCCGCCCGGGGCG